rnacentral:tRNA from 1 species
GAUUAAAUGGCUGAAUUAGAGGCAAUAGAUUGUAAAUCUAUUUAUGGGGGUUUCCUCUUUAAUCA